GGGUUGUGAGGUUAAGCGACUAAGCGUACACGGUGGAUGCCCUGGCAGUCAGAGGCGAUGAAGGACGUGCUAAUCUGCGAUAAGCGUCGGUAAGGUGAUAUGAACCGUUAUAACCGGCGAUUUCCGAAUGGGGAAACCCAGUGUGAUUCGUCACACUAUCAUUAACUGAAUCCAUAGGUUAAUGAGGCGAACCGGGGGAACUGAAACAUCUAAGUACCCCGAGGAAAAGAAAUCAACCGAGAUUCCCCCAGUAGCGGCGAGCGAACGGGGAGCAGCCCAGAGCCUGAAUCAGUGUGUGUGUUAGUGGAAGCGUCUGGAAAGGCGCGCGAUACAGGGUGACAGCCCCGUACACAAAAAUGCACAUGCUGUGAGCUCGAUGAGUAGGGCGGGACACGUGGUAUCCUGUCUGAAUAUGGGGGGACCAUCCUCCAAGGCUAAAUACUCCUGACUGACCGAUAGUGAACCAGUACCGUGAGGGAAAGGCGAAAAGAACCCCGGCGAGGGGAGUGAAAAAGAACCUGAAACCGUGUACGUACAAGCAGUGGGAGCACAGGCUCUGUGUGACUGCGUACCUUUUGUAUAAUGGGUCAGCGACUUAUAUUCUGUAGCAAGGUUAACCGAAUAGGGGAGCCGAAGGGAAACCGAGUCUUAACUGGGCGUUAAGUUGCAGGGUAUAGACCCGAAACCCGGUGAUCUAGCCAUGGGCAGGUUGAAGGUUGGGUAACACUAACUGGAGGACCGAACCGACUAAUGUUGAAAAAUUAGCGGAUGACUUGUGGCUGGGGGUGAAAGGCCAAUCAAACCGGGAGAUAGCUGGUUCUCCCCGAAAGCUAUUUAGGUAGCGCCUCGUGAAUUCAUCUCCGGGGGUAGAGCACUGUUUCGGCAAGGGGGUCAUCCCGACUUACCAACCCGAUGCAAACUACGAAUACCGGAGAAUGUUAUCACGGGAGACACACGGCGGGUGCUAACGUCCGUCGUGAAGAGGGAAACAACCCAGACCGCCAGCUAAGGUCCCAAAGUCAUGGUUAAGUGGGAAACGAUGUGGGAAGGCCCAGACAGCCAGGAUGUUGGCUUAGAAGCAGCCAUCAUUUAAAGAAAGCGUAAUAGCUCACUGGUCGAGUCGGCCUGCGCGGAAGAUGUAACGGGGCUAAACCAUGCACCGAAGCUGCGGCAGCGACGCUGAUGCGUUGUUGGGUAGGGGAGCGUUCUGUAAGCCUGCGAAGGUGUGCUGUGAGGCAUGCUGGAGGUAUCAGAAGUGCGAAUGCUGACAUAAGUAACGAUAAAGCGGGUGAAAAGCCCGCUCGCCGGAAGACCAAGGGUUCCUGUCCAACGUUAAUCGGGGCAGGGUGAGUCGACCCCUAAGGCGAGGCCGAAAGGCGUAGUCGAUGGGAAACAGGUUAAUAUUCCUGUACUUGGUGUUACUGCGAAGGGGGGACGGAGAAGGCUAUGUUGGCCGGGCGACGGUUGUCCCGGUUUAAGCGUGUAGGCUGGUUUUCCAGGCAAAUCCGGAAAAUCAAGGCUGAGGCGUGAUGACGAGGCACUACGGUGCUGAAGCAACAAAUGCCCUGCUUCCAGGAAAAGCCUCUAAGCAUCAGGUAACAUCAAAUCGUACCCCAAACCGACACAGGUGGUCAGGUAGAGAAUACCAAGGCGCUUGAGAGAACUCGGGUGAAGGAACUAGGCAAAAUGGUGCCGUAACUUCGGGAGAAGGCACGCUGAUAUGUAGGUGAAGUCCCUCGCGGAUGGAGCUGAAAUCAGUCGAAGAUACCAGCUGGCUGCAACUGUUUAUUAAAAACACAGCACUGUGCAAACACGAAAGUGGACGUAUACGGUGUGACGCCUGCCCGGUGCCGGAAGGUUAAUUGAUGGGGUUAGCGCAAGCGAAGCUCUUGAUCGAAGCCCCGGUAAACGGCGGCCGUAACUAUAACGGUCCUAAGGUAGCGAAAUUCCUUGUCGGGUAAGUUCCGACCUGCACGAAUGGCGUAAUGAUGGCCAGGCUGUCUCCACCCGAGACUCAGUGAAAUUGAACUCGCUGUGAAGAUGCAGUGUACCCGCGGCAAGACGGAAAGACCCCGUGAACCUUUACUAUAGCUUGACACUGAACAUUGAGCCUUGAUGUGUAGGAUAGGUGGGAGGCUUUGAAGUGUGGACGCCAGUCUGCAUGGAGCCGACCUUGAAAUACCACCCUUUAAUGUUUGAUGUUCUAACGUGGACCCGUAAUCCGGGUUGCGGACAGUGUCUGGUGGGUAGUUUGACUGGGGCGGUCUCCUCCUAAAGAGUAACGGAGGAGCACGAAGGUUGGCUAAUCCUGGUCGGACAUCAGGAGGUUAGUGCAAUGGCAUAAGCCAGCUUGACUGCGAGCGUGACGGCGCGAGCAGGUGCGAAAGCAGGUCAUAGUGAUCCGGUGGUUCUGAAUGGAAGGGCCAUCGCUCAACGGAUAAAAGGUACUCCGGGGAUAACAGGCUGAUACCGCCCAAGAGUUCAUAUCGACGGCGGUGUUUGGCACCUCGAUGUCGGCUCAUCACAUCCUGGGGCUGAAGUAGGUCCCAAGGGUAUGGCUGUUCGCCAUUUAAAGUGGUACGCGAGCUGGGUUUAGAACGUCGUGAGACAGUUCGGUCCCUAUCUGCCGUGGGCGCUGGAGAACUGAGGGGGGCUGCUCCUAGUACGAGAGGACCGGAGUGGACGCAUCACUGGUGUUCGGGUUGUCAUGCCAAUGGCACUGCCCGGUAGCUAAAUGCGGAAGAGAUAAGUGCUGAAAGCAUCUAAGCACGAAACUUGCCCCGAGAUGAGUUCUCCCUGACUCCUUGAGAGUCCUGAAGGAACGUUGAAGACGACGACGUUGAUAGGCCGGGUGUGUAAGCGCAGCGAUGCGUUGAGCUAACCGGUACUAAUGAACCGUGAGGCUUAACCUUACAACGCCGAAG
rnacentral:rRNA from 1 species